rnacentral:rRNA from 1 species
GACGAACGCUGGCGGCGUGCUUAACACAUGCAAGUCGAACGGAAAGGCCCUGCUUUUGUGGGGUGCUCGAGUGGCGAACGGGUGAGUAACACGUGAGUAACCUGCCCUUGACUUUGGGAUAACUUCAGGAAACUGGGGCUAAUACCGGAUAGGAGCUCCUGCUGCAUGGUGGGGGUUGGAAAGUUUCGGCGGUUGGGGAUGGACUCGCGGCUUAUCAGCUUGGUGGUGGGGUAGUGGCUUACCAAGGCUUUGACGGGUAGCCGGCCUGAGAGGGUGACCGGCCACAUUGGGACUGAGAUACGGCACAGACUCCUACGGGAGGCAGCAGUGGGGAAUAUUGCACAAUGGGCGGAGGCCUGAUGCAGCAACGCCGCGUGCGGGAUGACGGCCUUCGGGCUGUAAACCGCUUUCGCCUGUGACGAAGCGUGAGUGACGGUAAUGGGUAAAGAAGCACCGGCUAACUACGUG